UAAGCGUGUAGGCUGGUUUUCCAGGCAAAUCCGGAAAACUAAGGCUGAGGCGUGAUGACGAGGCACUACGGUGCUGAAGCAACAAAUGCCCUGCUUCCAGGAAAAGCCUCUAAGCAUCAGGUAACAUCAAAUCGUACCCCAAACCGACACAGGUGGUCAGGUAGAGAAUACCAAGGCGCUUGAGAGAACUCGGGUGAAGGAACUAGGCAAAAUGGUGCCGUAACUUCGGGAGAAGGCACGCUGAUAUGUAGGUGAAGUCCCUCGCGGAUGGAGCUGAAAUCAGUCGAAGAUACCAGCUGGCUGCAACUGUUUAUUAAAAACACAGCACUGUGCAAACACGAAAGUGGACGUAUACGGUGUGACGCCUGCCCGGUGCCGGAAGGUUAAUUGAUGGGGUCAGCGCAAGCGAAGCUCUUGAUCGAAGCCCCGGUAAACGGCGGCCGUAACUAUAACGGUCCUAAGGUAGCGAAAUUCCUUGUCGGGUAAGUUCCGACCUGCACGAAUGGCGUAAUGAUGGCCAGGCUGUCUCCACCCGAGACUCAGUGAAAUUGAACUCGCUGUGAAGAUGCAGUGUACCCGCGGCAAGACGGAAAGACCCCGUGAACCUUUACUAUAGCUUGACACUGAACAUUGAGCCUUGAUGUGUAGGAUAGGUGGGAGGCUUUGAAGUGUGGACGCCAGUCUGCAUGGAGCCGACCUUGAAAUACCACCCUUUAAUGUUUGAUGUUCUAACGUUGACCCGUAAUCCGGGUUGCGGACAGUGUCUGGUGGGUAGUUUGACUGGGGCGGUCUCCUCCUAAAGAGUAACGGAGGAGCACGAAGGUUGGCUAAUCCUGGUCGGACAUCAGGAGGUUAGUGCAAUGGCAUAAGCCAGCUUGACUGCGAGCGUGACGGCGCGAGCAGGUGCGAAAGCAGGUCAUAGUGAUCCGGUGGUUCUGAAUGGAAGGGCCAUCGCUCAACGGAUAAAAGGUACUCCGGGGAUAACAGGCUGAUACCGCCCAAGAGUUCAUAUCGACGGCGGUGUUUGGCACCUCGAUGUCGGCUCAUCACAUCCUGGGGCUGAAGUAGGUCCCAAGGGUAUGGCUGUUCGCCAUUUAAAGUGGUACGCGAGCUGGGUUUAGAACGUCGUGAGACAGUUCGGUCCCUAUCUGCCGUGGGCGCUGGAGAACUGAGGGGGGCUGCUCCUAGUACGAGAGGACCGGAGUGGACGCAUCACUGGUGUUCGGGUUGUCAUGCCAAUGGCACUGCCCGGUAGCUAAAUGCGGAAGAGAUAAGUGCUGAAAGCAUCUAAGCACGAAACUUGCCCCGAGAUGAGUUCUCCCUGACUCCUUGAGAGUCCUGAAGGAACGUUGAAG
rnacentral:rRNA from 1 species